UUAAAGCAAUAAACAUCUACAUUAAAAAAGAAGAAAGAUCCCAAAUAAACAGCCUAAUGUUACACUGCAAGGAACUAGAAAUAGAUGAAUAAACUAAACCUAAAGAAAAAUGUGGUUUUUAUUCCUCGUCAUAUGAAGCUAAUCUCUCUUAACUUUCAUUUUCUUAGCUUCUAAGUGGGAAUAAUGAAAUGUUUCUUGUAGGAUUAUUUUGAAAUUUAUUGAUAAUAGAUAGGAUGUAUGUGACCCAAUGGCAGCCCUUGCUCACUCUGCACUAACCGUGCAUGACUAUUUUUCAUUUUUUCAACGGGCAGAACUUAUUUUUAGCUUGUGGUCAACUAAGAUCUUCUGAGUUUUUUUUUUUUUUUAAACCUAGGCAAACUGAGGUCUUUCUAUCCUAAAUAUAUGUAAUUGAUUUUUUUUUAGAAACUUAAUGCAGGUCUUUAACAUUUAUCCCUUUAAAACAGCUGACUUAGGGCCUUACCACAAACAGCUCUCCUGGUAUGGAAUGUUCUUCCUCCUGACCUUCCCAUGGCUGUCUCUCUCUCUUUUUUUAAUCAUUCAGGUCUCAGUUUACAUGGCAUCCUUUCAGCAAGACCUUGCCUGAUGAUUCAAUCCAAUGCUGCAUCCAAGUCACUCUCUGUUAUACUCUGCUUCUGUUCUCAUUUCUUUAGUUGCUUAUCAUCCAUUACCCACCCCACCUCAGCCUGGCCAGCCUGCACUUAUAAGAACACCUAGCACAAAAUGAAAAGUCAAUGAAUAUUUGUUGGAAGAAUAAAUAAUAGUCAUUCUUCUUUUGUUAUUGAGAAAAAGUUCUUAAUAUUGGUUCAUUCCUACAAGAUGCCUUAACAUCAAGGAAAAGAAGUUAUUUUCACUUCCUAUCAGCAUUAGCCUCACAUUCUUUAAAAAUAGUUUUUUAUUAAAGUUUUUUUUUAUAGUAGCAUAUAGAAAGUUGAACUUUUUCAGAAGAAUCAUUGGAUGAUGUGCUUUGAGGCAGGCAGCCUAACAGAUAAUCUUUCUACACCCCCAGGGACAAGAACCAGGGGUUCUUCCUGCUCUUAGAUAAACUAUAGUGUGAGGUGAGCUAUUGGGAAGAAGAAGUGAAUAGAAAAUAAGCAAAGGAGGCCAAAUUUUUGUCACUGAUUCAGUAUAGCAGCUAAGGGAUAGGGAGAAUUGAAGAAGUCCUGAAGUUCUGGCUUAGGCCACUGGAUGGAUAGUGGUGUUAUUUGGCAAUAUAAAAGCACUGUAUAAAAGCAGGCAGAAGAGGAGAAGCAAGAUCAGGAGAAGUGAGAAGAUCCAAGCACAGUUGGGGAGAAUAGGUUUGGUGCUCAGGGAUGGGUCCAGACUAGACUGAAAGAUCUGGGGCUUCUUCUGCAGGUGGCAGUUGAAGUUAUGGGAGCAGUUAAGAUCACUAAGUAGUGUCGGAGAGUGAGCAAAGAGGGGUAAGGACUGGAUCUUCAGUCACAGUAACAUGGAGAGUCAGGAAGAUAAGAGGGGACUGGAAAGGGCUAGCCAGGGGUUUAGGGGAACCAAGAGAGUGGCAUCAGAGAAGCCAAAGGAAGAGUGUAUAGUCAACGAUGUCAGAUGCUGAAAGAUGGCAAGUUCUUAGACCAGAAAUGAGUCCACUGAUUUGCCAAUCUGUGGUCCUUGGUGACCUUUGGCAGUCACAGUUUCAGAGUUGGUGGUGGUGAUGGGUGGGGGCAGAACUUAGAAAGCAGUGGGCUGAGUAAAGAAAUGAAAGAAGAGAGAUCUCAUCUGUCUAUGUUCUUUAAGAUGUGGUAGUCUGUUGCACUACAGUGGAACUGCUAGGAAAGUGCUGCUUUUAGCAAUCAUAUUAUAUAUGCUGGUGGCUCAGUUUCAGCUUGUGGUCAUCUAAGAUCUUCUGACUUUUUUUUAAACCUUGGCAAGCCAGGGUCUUUCUAUCUGAAAUGUACAUAAUCGAUUAUUUUUAAAACCUUUAAUGCAGGCCUUUAACAUUUAUCUCUUUCAAAUAGUACCUUAUUAGUGUAAGCCAAAUUUUCCAAACAUAUUCUAAAGCUAAUUUCAUCAUUGUUUGCUUUAUAGUCCUGCCUAGGACCUUACUUUUUAAGAUGCCUGGUUCUCUUCCUUAGAAACUAGGGAUGGCGGUGUUCCUGUUACUAUAAUUUGUGCAUGGAAAACUAGAUUGAGCUCAAUUUCAUUCCUGGGAAACAACAACUUUCUUAGCUAAAAUAUAAACCCUAACUGGAAAGCAACUGACCAGAGGUUAAGAAUUGCAUUUUGAAAUAGUAAUUGACCACAAAUCAAAAGACAUGUACUAUUUAAUGUGCUUGAUUGAUUUCAAGCUUCCAAAUCCUCAAAGCUAAAAACUGUCAUCAUAAUGUACUUAGUUAAUGGGUGACUGUAUUUUUAGAAAAGCUUUUGACAAAAGGCUAGAAAAAGACUUAAAUGCAUAAACCAGGGUAUUUUCUUGCCUGAGUAUUCCAUUAAUUGAGAUUUUAUACUUAACACCUUUUUUUUAAGUUUUACAAAGGACCAUGAAAUUGUGAUCCCUGUGAGGUAGAUGGGCUAUUUUUAUUUCACUUCUAAGAAGAUCAAGGUAUAAGGUACCUAUUUCCUCGGAUGUUAUGAACCCAAAGAAUAUAAUGAUGACAUUUUGAUUUUCCACCCAGGCCUUUUGCCAUGACUUUCCCAGCACUCACGUCAGAUAUCUUCAUUCACAAUUUAAAAAGAAGAGUUAUGUCUCAAGGAGAAAAAUCUAGGUAGGAACAGAUAGAAACAGUUUUACAUAGAGCUCAGCUAAUUGUGUGAAGUUGGUGGUCAUGAAACUGUGGGACUCUGAAUGUUGGUUACACCAAGGCGCAAUGUGGGCAGAAGAUGCUUCCUCCAGGCAGCUUGGGCAAACUGUUUAGUGCAACACCCUUGCUGUGUAGGCUUAUUUUUAGCAGAAACAGGGACCUUGAACUCAUCAGCUCAUUUUGAGUUCAAUAUGAAAUCUGAACCUAGACCCGAGAAGAUGCCUACCUGUGUCCCCACCCGCCCCCUUGGUGUGCUGCCAGAAAAUGUUUACUCAGAGCAGCAGCUGAAGUCUGUUUGGGAACCUGCAGCCUGUGUACAUCCGACUAGUGACCAAGAUGCUUGGGUGUGUGCUGACUCAUUUAAGAACAACUGAUUUAGAGAGCUGCUGGGGUGUGGGUGUUAGUGUGCUGUGGUUCAUUUUCCAGCAUGCUACCAGAAAAGCACUGGAUGGAAGUGGCAAAUGACAAAGUCAAAACACAGUUACUGUACUGUUCAGAAUAUAGACAGCAAUUUCCUUUCUAAAUCUGUCUUUUAGGAUGCCCUAGUCAUUAGCAUCUGGAUUUGGCAAUAUUUUAGAAAUAUUUAAAUAUAGCUAUGUUUAAUGAGCACUUACCACAUGCUAGGCAUUUUUCUAAAUGUUUUACAGGCGUUAAAUCAUUUAGUUCUCAUAGCCACACUCUGAGUUAUCUGUUCUCAUCUGUCAUCAUGGCCAUCUUGCAGUUGGGGACAGCUGAGGCUUGGGGAUAUGUAAUUAGCUUAAAGAUACCAGAGUAUCUGUGGCAGAGCAUGAUAUAAAUCUAGGUCUGACUCAAUGUCAGACUCAAUAUGACUCAAGUCUAUAUUGUUAACCUGUUAAAUGUUACUGAGGUUUUGGUGCUAUUUAAAUAGAAAUAAAUGGGUUGUGCUUAAUGUUCAGUAAAUACAAUUUCUAUACCACUUUCUGAUUUUUUUUGUAUAUGGAUAUAUAUGAAAUAGAAGUCAAGCGUUUGUCCAUUUAAUCUGAAAAUGUGCACUCAAUUGUGAUUAGGUGUAGGAAGAUGGUGCGACGAUCUUUUUACACGUGAUGGAUUCUUAAGUCUUUUUAAUUCUUUCAGGUGGCUGAUCUCUGUUCAGGGAUAUGUCAAACAACCCUUCUUUCUCCAGCAGGCAAGAGGCAGGUCUGGGUGGGACACUCUGGGCUGGGCUGGGCCUAGCUUCUGGAAACACCCAGGGAUCCCUUAAGUCAUAGCCUAAGUCAGGGUCCUGGGGCCAUUGAGAACUCUUCAUGGUUAAGAAGGGGGGAUACCUGAGGGUAAGUUAAUUACUCCAAUGGCAUAAAUCAGUGUUUCAGACAUACAUUUAAUCAUCUGUAACAACUUUUGUUGACCCUAUCUUAAGGUCAUUUGAAUCUUUUUCCAGAAGCCUAUUGCUCUUGGCAAUCUGAGGGAUGGGGCAGUUAGAGACAGAGGGCUUUGACCCAUAUGUCUCAGGCCUCAUCAGCAUGACUACAGAAUAGAGACAUUUAUUUAUUUAUUUUGUAAUUGCCUAAAUUACGAAAUUGUGUACUCCCCUCCUUUUCUUGCCCAAAUGCUAAAAACUGGAACCCCCUACCUCAACUGCUCUCUCAGUAUUCUGAGAGCUCUCAGUGUCAGGUUUCACUGUUCCUCCCUCCUCCACUCCCCAGGUCUCUGUCUUCCUCUGCGCUGUCAUGACCUUCGGGGCUGGGCUGCUGUGAUCAUCCCUGCCACCUUCCAGAGACCACUCUCAUACCCUCUGCUUGAUCUCAGAAAAUAGACCUCUGCCCUCCUGUUUUCCAGCUUGUCUGAACUGUAUGUAGCACAGGCCCUUCCAUAAUUCCCCGUAAUACAACUGAGGCCAACCACGUUGCCUGUCCUGAGAAAACUCAAAGACAAUGGUGCCAAGGAAGAACAGAAUUUCAUAAAUGAAGAAUGACAGAUGGCACUAAGAGUUCAAGUAAGAAGAGUCUUGGAGAUUCUCAGCAAACAAUCUCAGUUAAGAAAGAGGAAAUGAAGUUAUUUAUGUGACUGAAUUUGCAUAGCAGAGACUACAGUUCCACCAAAUACUCGAUGAGAAAAUGAGUCUCGACUUGCAGAGCCAAGAUGACCAAAUAGGAACAGCUCCAGUCUACAGCUCCCAGCCUGAGCGACGCAGAAGAUGGGUGAUUUCUGCAUUUCCAUCUGAGGUACCGGGUU
rnacentral:lncRNA from 1 species